CACGUAGGCGGAUAUUUAAGUCAGGGGUGAAAUCCCAGAGCUCAACUCUGGAACUGCCUUUGAUACUGGGUAUCUUGAGUAUGGAAGGGGUAAGUGGAAUUCCGAGUGUAGAGGUGAAAUUCGUAGAUAUUCGGAGGAACACCAGUGGCGAAGGCGGCUUACUGGUCCAUUACUGACGCUGAGGUGCGAAAGCGUGGGGAGCAAACA
rnacentral:rRNA from 1 species